rnacentral:rRNA from 1 species
GAUUUCUGGUAUGGUGCGCCUGAUCCACGGCUGCAAAGCUGUGAGUGUCGGUGUGCGCCUGCCAUCUUUCUAGUUAACUGGACGCACUUAACUGGGCGGUCAGCGAUCUAGAUCUUUUACUUUGAAAAAAUUAGAGUGUUUAAAGCAGGCUUGCGCUAUGAAUACAUUAGCAUGGAAUAAUAAUUUAGGACUUGAUUCCUAUUUUAUUGGUUUCUAGGAGUUAAGUAAUGAUUGAUAGGGAUAGUUGGGGGUGCUAGUAUUCAUCGGCCAGAGGUGAAAUUCUUGGAUUCGAUGAAGACUAACUAAUGCGAAAGCAUU